GGGUUAUACAUUACGAUCCUGUCUCUUUUAACCAAAUAAACUUAAGUAAAAAGUAAAAACUCUUUUAACCAAAGCGGGACGACAAGACCCUGACAAACUUAACAUUUAGUUGGGGAAACAAAAUAAUAAAUAUUUAUUCAUAACUUAAACAUAACUUUAAAAUAAAAACAAGACUAGUUACUGCAGGGAUAACAGCGUUAUUUCUUUUAAGAGCUCUGAUCUAAAAAGAAGAUUACGACCUCGAUGUUGAAUUAAUUCCGCUAUACGGGUGCAACAACCCUAUAAGGUAGUCUGUUCGACUAUUAAAAAAUU
rnacentral:rRNA from 1 species